UACGUAGGGGGCAAGCGUUGUCCGGAUUCAUUGGGCGUAAAGAGCGUGUAGGCGGCCAGGUAGGUCGGUUGUGAAAACUGGAGGCUCAACCUUCAGAGGUCGACCGAAACCAUCUGGCUAGAGUCCGGGAGAGGAGAGUGGAAUUCCUGGUGUAGCGGUGAAAUGCGCAGAUAUCAGGAGGAACACCAAUGGCGAAGGCAGCUCGCUGGGACGGUACUGACGCUGAGACGCGAAAGCGUGGGGAGCGAACAGG
rnacentral:rRNA from 1 species